GAGCAGGUCGGACGGUCGCGCAAAAGGCGUUUUUCGCCGGAGUGAGGAAAGUCCGGGCUUCACAGAGCAGGAUAACGGAUAACGUCCGCCGAGGGUAACCUCCGGGAGAGUGCAACAGAGAUAUACCGCCGCAGCUUUUGCGGUAAGGGUGGAAAGGCGAGGUAAGAGCUCACCGGGCGCUUUGGCAACAUAGCGUUCCUGUAAACCCUAUCCGAAGCAACACGAUGCGUAAUAAGCGUUUUUUAAAAAUGCGGAGCUUGCUCGGCUCAUUGACGCAAGUGGCAGGGAGCUUUGCGGUAACGCAAAGGCAAGACAGAUGACCGUCUUAAAUGACAGAACCCGGCUUACAGACCUGCUCAU
rnacentral:RNase_P_RNA from 1 species